UGAUCCAGCCAUGCCGCGUGUGUGAAGAAGGCCCUCGGGUUGUAAAGCACUUUCAGCGAGGAAGAACGCCUAUCGGUUAAUACCCGGUAGGAAAGACAUCACUCGCAGAAGAAGCACCGGCUAACUCCGUGCCAGCAGCCGCGGUAAUACGGAGGGUGCAAGCGUUAAUCGGAAUUACUGGGCGUAAAGCGCGCGUAGGUGGCUUGAUAAGCCGGUUGUGAAAGCCCCGGGCUCAACCUGGGAACGGCAUCCGGAACUGUCAGGCUAGAGUGCAGGAGAGGAAGGUAGAAUUCCCGGUGUAGCGGUGAAAUGCGUAGAGAUCGGGAGGAAUACCAGUGGCGAAGGCGGCCUUCUGGACUGACACUGACACUGAGGUGCGAAAGCGUGGGUAGCAAACAGGAUUAGAUACCCUGGUAGUCCACGCCGUAAACGAUGUCGACCAGCCGUUGGGUGCCUAGAGCACUUUGUGGCGAAGUUAACGCGAUAAGUCGACCGCCUGGGGAGUACGGCCGCAAGGUUAAAACUCAA
rnacentral:rRNA from 1 species